GACGAACGCUGGCGGCGUGCUUAAUACAUGCAAGUCGAACGGAAAGGCCCCUUUGUUGGUCCUCUAGUGGUGAACGGGUGAGUAAGACGUGAGUAUCCUUCCCUUGACUCCGGGAUAACUUUAGCUAACUGGGGCUAAUACCGGUUACGGAUCCUUUCUGCAAGGGGGUGGUUGGAAAGCUCCGGCGGUUUUUGAUGUACUCUCGGCGUAUCAGCUUGUUGGUGUAGCAGUGGCUUACCGAGGCUUCGACGGGUAGCCCGCCUGAGAGGGCGACCCGCCACAUAGAGACUGAGAUACGGCCCCGACUCCUACGGGAGCCAGAAGGGCGGAAUAUUGAAGAAUGAACGGAACGCUAAUGAUGAAACGCCUCGGACGGGAUAACUGCCUUAGGAUUGUAGACCGAUUUCGGCAGGGGCGAUGCUCGUCGUGACGGUACCUGAACAGAAAGCCACGGCUAACUACGUG
rnacentral:rRNA from 1 species